CAAUAGCGUAUAUUAAAGUUGUUGCAGUUAAAAAGCUCGUAGUUGGAUUUCUGGUAGGAGCGACCGUGCCGAACUUGAUUGUUCGAGUAUUGUGUUGUCUUCAGCCAUCCUCGUGGAGAACUUUUCUAACAUUAACUUGUUGGGAUUGGGACCCGCGUCGUUUACUGUGAAAAAAUUAGAGUGUUUAAAGCAGGCAUUAGCUUGAAUACAUUAGCAUGGAAUAAUAAGAUAGGACUUUGGUACUAUUUUGUUGGUUUGCAUACCAAAUUAAUGAUCAACAGGAACAGUUUGAGGAUAUUCGUAUGAACAUGUCAGAGGUGAAAUUCUCGGAUUUUGAUCAGACGAACUACUGCGAAAGCAUUUAUCAAGGAUGUUUUCAUUAA
rnacentral:rRNA from 1 species